rnacentral:rRNA from 1 species
GACGAACGCUGGCGGCGUGCUUAACACAUGCAAGUCGAGCGAGGUUCAACCAGUGGCAACACCGGGGUAGACCUAGCGGCGAACGGGUGAGUAACACGUGAGCAACCUGUCCCGGAGUCUGGGAUAACACCGGGAAACCGGUGCUAAUACCGGAUACCCCCACGGAAUCGCAUGGUUCUGUGAGGAAAGACUGAGUCUAAUAAAUUACAGGUGGCGUUCGGGAGGGGCGUCGCGGGCUAUCAGCUUGUUGGUGAGGUAACGG